GGUUGACCUCGGAUCAGGUAGGGAUACCCGCUGAACUUAAGCAUAUCAAUAAGCGGAGGAAAAGAAACCAACUGGGAUUGCCUCAGUAACGGCGAGUGAAGCGGCAACAGCUCAAAUUUGAAAUCUGGCUCCUCUGGGGGUCCGAGUUGUAAUUUGUAGAGGAUGCUUCGGGCAAGGCGGUGGUCUAAUUUGCUUGGAACAGCGAGUCAGAGAGGGUGAGAAUCCCGUCUAGGAUCGCCAGCCGCGUCCAUGUGAAGCUCCUUCGACGAGUCGAGUUGUUUGGGAAUGCAGCUCUAAAUGGGUGGUAAAUUUCAUCUAAAGCUAAAUAUUGGCCAGAGACCGAUAGCGCACAAGUAGAGUGAUCGAAAGAUGAAAAGCACUUUGAAAAGAGAGUUAAACAGUAUGUGAAAUUGUUGAAAGGGAAGCGCUUGUAACCAGACUUGCGUGUAACGGUUCCCCCGGCCUUCUGGCCGGGUUACUCCGUUAUCUCCAGGCCAGCAUCGGUUUGGGUGGUCGGUAAAAGACCCCGGGAAUGUAUCUACCUUCGGGUCGACUUAUAGCCCGGGGUGUAAUGCGGCCCAUCCAGACCGAGGAACGCGCUUCGGCUCGGAUGCUGGCGUAAUGGUUGUAAGCGGCCCGUCUUGAAACACGGACCAAGGAGUCUAACAUCUAUGCGAGUGUUUGGGUGUCAAACCCCUACGCGUAAUGAAAGUGAACGGAGGUAAGAACCCCGCAAGGGGCGCAUUAUCGACCGAUCCUGAUGUCUUCGGAUGGAUUUGAGUAAGAGCAUAGCUGUUGGGACCCGAAAGAUGGUGAACUAUGCCUGAAUAGGGUGAAGCCAGAGGAAACUCUGGUGGAGGCUCGCAGCGGUUCUGACGUGCAAAUCGAUCGUCAAAUUUGGGCAUAGGGGCGAAAGACUAAUCGAACCAUUGUUGAGCGGGGCUAAACGCGGCUACCGGGUGGUUCCACACAAAGUCCUUUGGGGCUACAUCGUCCUUCUGGCGGGGAUUCAAACCCGCAGC
rnacentral:rRNA from 1 species